rnacentral:rRNA from 1 species
AUUGAACGCUGGCGGCAUGCCUUACACAUGCAAGUCGAACGGCAGCAUGGAGAGCUUGCUCUCUGAUGGCGAGUGGCGAACGGGUGAGUAAUGCAUCGGAACGUACCGUGUAAUGGGGGAUAACGUAGCGAAAGUUACGCUAAUACCGCAUCCGACCUGAGGGGGAAAGCAGGGGAUCGCAAGACCUUGCGCUAUACGAGCGGCCGAUGUCAGAUUAGCUAGUUGGUGAGGUAAAGGCUCACCAAGGCGACGAUCUGUAGCGGGUCUGAGAGGAGGAUCCGCCACACUGGGACUGAGACACGGCCCAGACUCCUACGGGAGGCAGCAGUGGGGAAUUUUGGACAAUGGGGGCGACCCUGAUCCAGCCAUGCCGCGUGAGUGAAGAAGGCCUUCGGGUUGUAAAGCUCUUUCGGCCGGGAAGAAAUCGCACAGGCUAAUACUCUGUGUGGAUGACGGUACCGGCAUAAGAAGCACCGGCUAACUACGUGCCAGCCGCCGCGGUAA